rnacentral:rRNA from 1 species
CCAGACUCCUACGGGAGGCAGCAGUGGGGGAUAUUGCACAAUGGGGGAAACCCUGAUGCAGCGACGCCGCGUGGGCGAAGAAGUAUUUCGGUAUGUAAAGCCCUAUCAGCAGGGAAGAAGAAAUGACGGUACCUGAGUAAGAAGCACCGGCUAAAUACGUGCCAGCAGCCGCGGUAAUACGUAGGGGGCAAGCGUUAUCCGGAUUUACUGGGUGUAAAGGGGGCGCAGACGGCAGCGCAAGCCAGGAGUGAAAGCCCGGGGCCCAACCCCGGGACUGCUCUUGGAACUGCGCGGCUGGAGUGCAGGAGGGGCAGGCGGAAUUCCUGGUGUAGCGGUGAAAUGCGUAGAUAUCAGGAGGAACACCGGUGGCGAAGGCGGCCUGCUGGACUGCGACUGACGUUGAGGCCCGAAAGCGUGGGGAGCAAACAGGAUUAGAUACCCUGGUA